rnacentral:rRNA from 1 species
UACGUAGGGGGCAAGCGUUGUCCGGAUUUAUUGGGCGUAAAGAGCGUGUAGGCGGCCAGACAGGUCAGCUGUGAAAACUCGAGGCUCAACCUCGAGAUGUCGGUUGAAACCGUCUGGCUAGAGUCCGGAAGAGGAGAGUGGAAUUCCUGGUGUAGCGGUGAAAUGCGCAGAUAUCAGGAAGAACACCCGUGGCGAAGGCAAUCCCCUGGGCCUGUACUGACGCUCAUGCACGAAAGCGUGGGGAGCAAACAGG